GCCUGGAUAGCUCAGUUGGUUAGAGCAUGGUGCCGGUAACACCAAGGUUACAGGUUCAGUCCCCGUAUCGGACA